rnacentral:rRNA from 1 species
UGCCAGCAGCCGCGGUAAUACGGAGGGUGCAAGCGUUGCUCGGAAUCAUUGGGCGUAAAGCGCGUGUAGGCGGCCAGAUAAGUCUGAUGUGAAAUCCCGGGGCUCAACCCCGGACGUGCAUUGGAUACUGUUUGGCUAGAGGGUGUGAGAGGAAAGCGGAAUUCCAGGUGGAGGGGUGAAAUCCGUAGAUAUCUGGAGGAACAUCAAAAGCGAAGGCAGCUUUCUGGCACACUUCUGACGCUGAGACGCGAAAGCGUGGGUAGCAAACAGGAUUAGAUA